rnacentral:rRNA from 1 species
CGGGUGAGUAACGCGUGGGUAACCUGCCUCAUACAGGGGAAUAACAGUUAGAAAUGGCUGCUAAUGCCGCAUAAGCGCACAGGACCGCAUGGUCUGGUGUGAAAAACUGAGGUGGUAUGAGAUGGGCCCGCGUCUGAUUAGGUAGUUGGCGGGGUAACGGCCCACCAAGCCGACGAUCAGUAGCCGACCUGAGAGGGUGACCGGCCACAUUGGGACUGAGACACGGCCCAG